rnacentral:sRNA from 1 species
GAAGAUUGAAAAAGGCUUCGUUGUAGUAGGUGGGCGCAUGGGCAUGGCAGCAUAGCUGUCAGGCGAAAGCACCCAUGCGCGGUAAAUUCAGCCCCCAAGCGGGGCUUUUUUAUUGCCCGUC